rnacentral:rRNA from 1 species
CGUUAGCGGCGGACGGGUGAGUAACACGUGGAUAACCUACCUAUAAGACUGGGAUAACUUCGGGAAACCGGAGCUAAUACCGGAUAAUAUAUUGAACCGCAUGGUUCAAUAGUGAAAGACGGUUUUGCUGUCACUUAUAGAUGGAUCCGCGCCGCAUUAGCUAGUUGGUAAGGUAACGGCUUACCAAGGCAACGAUGCGUAGCCGACCUGAGAGGGUGAUCGGCCACACUGGAACUGAGACACGGUCCAGACUCCUACGGGAGGCAGCAGUAGGGAAUCUUCCGCAAUGGGCGAAAGCCUGACGGAGCAACGCCGCGUGAGCGAUGAAGGUCUUCGGAUCGUAAAACUCUGUUAUUAGGGAAGAACAAAUGUGUAAGUAACUAUGCACGUCUUGACGGUACCUAAUCAGAAAGCCACGGCUAACUACGUGCCAGCAGCCGCGGUAAUACGUAGGUGGCAAGCGUUAUCCGGAAUUAUUGGGCGUAAAGCGCGCGUAGGCGGUUUUUUAAGUCUGAUGUGAAAGCCCACGGCUCAACCGUGGAGGGUCAUUGGAAACUGGAAAACUUGAGUGCAGAAGAGGAAAGUGGAAUUCCAUGUGUAGCGGUGAAAUGCGCAGAGAUAUGGAGGAACACCAGUGGCGAAGGCGACUUUCUGGUCUGUAACUGACGCUGAUGUGCGAAAGCGUGGGGAUCAAACAGGAUUAGAUACCUGGUAGUCCACGCCGUAAACGAUGAGUGCUAAGUGUUAGGGGGUUUCCGCCCCUUAGUGCUGCAGCUAACGCAUUAAGCACUCCGCCUGGGGAGUACGACC